CGGCGCGGCUGCAAGAGCAACAGAGACAGGGAAGCGAGAGAGAGUAUUUAUGUGAGGGCCAUAAAAAUGCAGUCUUCUCCGUUGGAGUUGGUCGGCGCGGCAUAUUUGCCUUGGCUUUUGAUUUAUGCACAGCCCAACUGCGGCGGUGGCAGCAACAGCAGUAGCGGCAGCAAUGCCGUGGCAAGUGAGGCAAAAUAAUGCAAUAAAUUUGACAUUAUCGCGAGCAGCCAUAAGAUAUGGCGGAAUUGGUAAUGGCGCACGGCCAAGGCGCAGGCGUGGAAAGGUGAAAAUCUGCGUCCUCAGCACUUAAAAACAUAUGCAUGUAUGCAUAUAUGUACAUACAAAGCUAUUCAAGUGCGCUGCUGAUGCGGUAAUGGCAUGCGCGUAGGUCGUAAAAAUGUGAAAAUACUACAACAAACGUGAUAUAAGAAACACAUAAAAAAAUCAAUGCUCAAACGAAGACGUAUAAAUAUUCAAAAGGUUGUGCUACAAAAGAAGUUCAGUGAAAAUUUCAUUUAUGUACAUUUUAUAUGGAUAUAUGGCAGGAGCGCACAUAAAACGAGAAAAUGUUCAAUAUGACGAAAGCAGAUAAAUACGAAAAACGCUCAUAAAUGCGGCAAAUGGCUAAGACGCGAUGAACAUCAAAGUACACCUCAAGUAUGUAAGUAAGUACCAGGACCUGUUUUAGUACAAAACAAUGGCUGAAAUACAUAUGUACGAGUAUGUAAAAGCAGACAGUUUCAAGUACUCGGCGGCUCAUAAAAUGCGAACAGCGUCACUUGCGAGGAUAACGUCCAACGUAUUUUACGAUCUGCUAAGAAGGUGGUCCCCCAUAACCGCUGGCUCAAGAACAUGCAUAAAAAACGAUAUAAAAAGAGAAAUCCAAACAAGUCCAUUGCUUAUCGUAAUUGUUGGGUUAUUAUUCGCCUGAUUUUAUGUGGCGAGCAGCAUUGGCAAUCGCUGGCUAUAAGUCUGCGCUAUAAUCACAUAAGUGGCAUCUGAAACUAAAAACGUUCGCAUUCAACACAUUUAGCUGGUUAAAGUGAUCAGCAUAAAAAGGUUGUUGGAUAUAAACAUACUUUUAUGUAAUUCUGUACCCAUUGGAUUUACUCUUCCAUACAAUUAUAGAGGUUAAAGAUUUGAGCGCUUUUUAAGCAGUAUUAUUGGUGCAGUUUUUCGCAAAGUGAAAGUGCAGUUGAUUGCGGUAAUUGCUUGACAGUUAAAGUUUGAACGUUUUAAAUAUCUUAAUAAAGUAUUAAGGAAUUCGAAGUAAGGAAAGGCUUGCCGUCGAAUACCAUUGUCGUAAAAAUAAGUCCAACUUAUAGUCCCCAAAAAUGUGAGUUUAAAAACAUUAUAUUAAUAGACAAUGGUAAGGCUCUCCGACUUGGCAUUUUUAAAAGAUAUAAUAUAAUCUCAAUAAAAGUUUUCAAAAAUUAUUACAGCAAUCUCAGCGU